UACAGAGGUCUCAAGCGUUGUUCGGAUUCAUUGGGCGUAAAGGGUGCGUAGGUGGCGCGGUAAGUCGGGUGUGAAAUUUCGGAGCUUAACUCCGAAACUGCAUUCGAUACUGCCGUGCUUGAGGACUGGAGAGGAGACUGGAAUUUACGGUGUAGCAGUGAAAUGCGUAGAGAUCAGGAGGAACACCCGGGGCGAAGGCGGCCCUCUGGCUCGACCCUGACGCUGAGGCGCGAAAGCGUGGGGAGCGAACGGG
rnacentral:rRNA from 1 species